rnacentral:rRNA from 1 species
CCUGGCGGCUCUAGCGCGGUGGUCCCAUCUGACCCCAUGCCGAACUCAGAAGUGAAACGCCGUAGCGCCGAUGGUAGUGUGGGGUCUCCCCAUGUGAG